GACGAACGCUGGCGGCGUGCUUAACACAUGCGAGUCGAACGGAAAGGCCCUGCUUUUGUGGGGUGCUCGAGUGGCGAACGGGUGAGUAACACGUGAGUAACCUGCCCUUGACUUUGGGAUAACUUCAGGAAACUGGGGCUAAUACCGGAUAGGAGCUCCUGCUGCAUGGUGGGGGUUGGAAAGUUUCGGCGGUUGGGGAUGGACUCGCGGCUUAUCAGCUUGUUGGUGGGGUAGUGGCUUACCAAGGCUUUGACGGGUAGCCGGCCUGAGAGGGUGACCGGCCACAUUGGGACUGAGAUACGGCCCAGACUCCUACGGGAGGCAGCAGUUGGGAAUAUUGCACAAUGGGCGGAAGCCUGAUGCAGCAACGCCGCGUGCGGGAUGACGGCCUUCGGGUUGUAAACCGCUUUCGCCUGUGACGAAGCGUGAGUGACGGUAAUGGGUAAAGAAGCACCGGCUAACUACGUG
rnacentral:rRNA from 1 species